GCCGGGAGCCGUGGCGGGCGCCUGUAAUCCCAGCUACUCAGGAGGCUGAGGCAGGAGAAUGGCUUGAAACCAGGAGUUGGAGGUUGCAGUGAGCCGAGAUCACACCACUGCACUCCAGCCUGGGUGACAGAGCGAGACUCUGACUCAA
ensembl:misc_RNA Metazoa_SRP Metazoan signal recognition particle RNA